rnacentral:rRNA from 1 species
AAGGGAGAGUAAUACGUAGGUAUCUACCCUCGGGUCUGGGAUAGCAGCGGGAAACUGCUGGUAAUACCAGAUAACGUCUCCGGACCAAAGGUGUGAUUCCACCUGAGGAGGAGCCUACGGCCUAUUAGCUUGUUGGUGGGGUAAUGGCCUACCAAGGCAGAGAUGGGUAUGGGGUGUGAGAGCAUGCCCCCACUCACUGGGACUGAGACACUGCCCAGACACCUACGGGUGGCUGCAGUCGAGAAUCUUCGGCAAUGGGCGAAAGCCUGACCGAGCGACGCCGCGUGCGGGAUGAAGGCCUUCGGGUUGUAAACCGCUGUCGUAGUGGAGGAAAUGUAAGAGAGUUAUCUCUUUUACUUGACUAAUACUAGGAGGAAGGACCGGCUAAUCUCGUGCCAGCAGCCGCGGUAAUACGAGAGGUCCAAACGUUAUUUGGAUUUACUGGGCUUAAAGAGUUCGUAGGCGGCUAAGUAAGUGGGGUGUGAAAUCCCUCGGCUCAACCGAGGAACUGCGCUCCAAACUACUUAGCUAGAGGAAGAUAGAGGUAAGCGGAACAGAUGGU